rnacentral:rRNA from 1 species
GGGUCAGUAGGUUGGUCGUGCCACCGGUACGUACUGGUCUCACUGAUUCCUCCUUCCUAAAGAACCGUAAUGCCAUUAAUUUGGUGUUGCGGGGAAACAGGACUGUUACUUUGAAAAAAUUAGAGUGUUUAAAGCAAGCUAACGCUUGAAUACAUUAGCAUGGAAUAAUGAAAUAGGACGAUCGAUCCUAUUUUGUUGGUUUCUAGGAUUGACGUA